rnacentral:rRNA from 1 species
CCUACGGGAGGCAGCAGUGGGGAAUUUUGGACAAUGGGCGCAAGCCUGAUCCAGCAAUGCCGCGUGAGUGAAGAAGGCCUUCGGGUUGUAAAGCUCUUUUGUCAGGGAAGAAACGGUGGAGGUUAAUACCUUCUGCUAAUGACGGUACCUGAAGAAUAAGCACCGGCUAACUACGUGCCAGCAGCCGCGGUAAUACGUAGGGUGCAAGCGUUAAUCGGAAUUACUGGGCGUAAAGCGUGCGCAGGCGGUUGUGCAAGACAGAUGUGAAAUCCCCGGGCUCAACCUGGGAAUUGCAUUUGUGACUGUACGGCUAGAGUGUGUCAGAGGGGGGUAGAAUUCCACGUGUAGCAGUGAAAUGCGUAGAGAUGUGGAGGAAUACCGAUGGCGAAGGCAGCCCCCUGGGAUAACACUGACGCUCAUGCACGAAAGCGUGGGGAGCAAACAGGAUUAGAUACCCUGGUAGUCCACGCCCUAAACGAUGUCUACUAGUUGUCGGGUCUUUAUUGACUUGGUAACGCAGCUAACGCGUGAAGUAGACCGCCUGGGGAGUCGGUGCAAGNUUAAAACUUAAAGAUAGUGCGNGNGAGNGCGACGACGACGACGAGGAGGGAGG